GUUUAAUGUCACUAUCUUUGCUUAUUAUUUGUCCUGCCUCUGUUAUGACAUUGUGGCCUAAGGACAGGAGCGUAUCUGCGUGACACCCUCCAUUAGUACUCUAGGGAGAGAAGACACCACCCUGUCCUCAGCUCCCAGCUGAGGCCCUCGGGCUGCUUCCUUUAUGGGGCGGCUGGAACAUCCAGAUGACACUGGACAAAAGCACAUAUUCUGGGGGGGGGUAGAUGGCAGAGCAGGGAGUGGGGUGUCCCUGGGAGAGUGUGGGAGAAGAUGACGGCAUUGGGGCAGGGGCAUAGGCCCUGACAGGGAGGCUGGGGCCACUGGGGUUGGACAAGUUGCUAAGCCUCAGUUUCCCUUUAUCUAAACAGGGUUGGCCCCAGGACUCGAGGAUGCGUGGUUAGACCCAGGCAGCCCUUGCCUCUGGAGUGUGUUCUGUCACUAGCUCUAGGAAGAGGGCCCAGCCCACAGGUGGAGGAGCUGGAACUCGAGCCCAGGAGGCACGCGGCUCCAGGAUCCAGCCUCUUCCCCACCGGGUCACUUCCCAGCAGGCCGCACUAGGCUUUGGCAGAACCUGUUGUUUGUGAACCUCCAUGAACCCCUCUGGGCCUCCCUUUUUCCAUCUGAGGUGUGGGCACUUUGCCGAUGAUUUCUUCUGGGCGGGGCAGGCUGGCCAGCUCCCCGCUCUCUGGGCCCCUUUCAGACCAGGUCCAAGUCCUUCUCACCCAGAACAUUCCUGCCCCUUUCAUGCCCACCCUGUGAGCAGGGCCACCCCCAUCUGCCUUGUCACUUUCUGGCCACCUGCCCUCAUCUAUAGAAAGCUGCCAUCUGUCUCUCUCUGCACCUCAACCCUUGCAGUGCUCUUGUGACUUCACCGCGCCAGAGGUGACCAGGGCAGGGGCUCUCCAUUCCUCCGUGACCUUGGGCUUCCAUUCCCUCCAGGCUCUUUUGGCAGCCCCACCUGGGCCCAGUACCCCACAGCCUUAGGUCAAACCCCAGCUUGGCUCUGCAGCUCCUCUGCGCACAAUCCUUCCCCUCCCUGGACCUUCCUUCCUCACUGGCCCUCGAUGCCUCCUCCCCACCCACCUUUGCCCACGGUGGGGUCCACAACCAUCAGCAUAACAAAGCCGCAGAUGCCCGGCCCCUCCCUUGGCAGCACCUCCAUGAUGCCCCAGCACCAACCCAACCAGCCCCCUGCAGCAGCCACAGCGGGGAAGCUAAAGGCUUUGGGGGAAACAGCCCCUGCAAAGGCUGUGCCCUCUGUGAGCCCCAAGUCUCCAGCAGACAGUGGCCCUGGCAGUGGCAGCCCCAGUAGCCCACGUGCCUACCCCAACAUGGCGACAUGGCCCGUUCACGCCCGCUGGCCUCCCAGGCUCUGCAGGCCCGUCACCCUCCACCGAGGAAACAGGAGCCCUUCCAGCAGCCCCUCUUCUCACCUGCGGAGGCAUGUGGCCCAUCAAAGGCUAUGGCUUCCCUGGGCUCGGAACCGCCCUUCUGGGCCCAAGGAAUGUGGCCUCAUCGGGUCAUCUUCGUCCUCGCCCUGCUUGCUGUCUCCAUGGACCCCGCGUCCUUCCCACCAGCACACAGUCACAUGCUUCUGUCUGCCACCCUUAG
rnacentral:lncRNA from 1 species